rnacentral:rRNA from 1 species
GGUGCGUAACACGUGAGCAACCUACCGAAAUGAGGGGGAUAGCCGGCCCAACGGCCGGGUAAUACCGCAUACGCUCGAGACCAGGCAUUUGGACUCGAGGAAACCUCCGGGGCAUUUCGAGGGGCUCGCGGCCUAUCAGCUAGUUGGUGAGGUAACGGCUCACCAAGGCGACGACGGGUAGCUGGUCUGAGAGGAUGGCCAGCCACAUUGGGACUGAGAUACGGCCCAGACUCCUACGGGAGGCAGCAGUGGGGAAUCUUGCGCAAUGGCCUAACGGCUGACGCAGCGACGCCGCGUGAGGGAUGACGCUCUUCGGAGUGUAAACCUCUUUUGCCUGAGACGAAUUGUCAGCUUUAGCUGAUUUGACUGUAUCGGGUGAAUAAGCACCGGCUAACUCCGUGCCAGCAGCCGCGGUAAUACGGGGGGUGCGAGCGUUGUCCGGAAUCACUGGGCGUAAAGGGCGCGUAGGUGGUCUGAUAAGGGUGUGGUGAAAGCCCGGGGCUCAACCCCUGGUCGGCCGUGCCGACUGUCAGACUAGAGUACUGUAGGGGCAGGCGGAAUUCC